rnacentral:rRNA from 1 species
CAUAACGACUCUCGACAACGGAUAUCUCGGCUCUCGCAUCGAUGAAGAACGUAGCGAAAUGCGAUACUUGGUGUGAAUUGCAGAAUCCCGUGAACCAUCGAGUCUUUGAACGCAAGUUGCGCCCGAAGCCGUUAGGCCAAGGGCACGUCUGCCUGGGCGUCACGCA